rnacentral:ncRNA from 1 species
ACUUCAGGGCAGGGUGCAAGUCCCUACCGGUGGUACAGCCCACGAGCCGAGAGGCCGAUUCGGUGGAACUCCGAAGCCGACAGUAUAGUCUGGAUGAAAGAAGU